GUACUUUUCCAGCACCACUCUAAUCUCCAGCAUCUGCAGUACCCACCUCCACCUGAACGGAGCAUGCACCAAGUGAAUGAUAGCAAUCGAGGGGAGGUUUCUUCUCGUUUCGCAAACGGUGAAAAUGAAUUGCAGAAUGCCAUGGAUAUGAAUAUUUGAAGAGUGUUCACAGACAGAAAUCUCCAACCUAACAACAUAUAUUAGUAUAUAUUGCCUCUGCCCAGUAACGUGUGGUGAAAGUUCAAAACUGCUGCCGUCUGUGUUGUGAAGAUGCUCCUGCAAUGCUGCUGGAAACCAGACUCGGACUUGCUGGCAAGAUCCCUUCCUUGAAGAACAUUCGUGAAUCCCUUUGGUUUCAUAGAGACAUACAGUAUCGAAACAGGCCCUUCAAACCACCGUGUCUAUGCUGACCAAUAAACAACAGACUACACUAAUUCCAUUGACCUACAUUCAGUCCCCAGCCUCCUAGGGCCUUGCAUUUGAAGUACUCAUCCUGAUGGUUCUUACGUAUUGUCUGCACCACUCUCUCAGGCAGCAUCUUGCCUUUAACUAGCACACUUUGGGUGAUUUUGUUUUUAUUUUUCUCUCAGACUGCACAGAGAAUUCCAGCUGUGGCCUAACAAAUGGCUUAUAAAUUUGGAACAAGAUUUCCUACUGCCUAUAUUCUAUGACCCAACUCAUGGUAGGAAGCAUUCCAUGUGACCUCUUCACCACCCCCUAUCUACCUCUGCUGUUACAGUCAGCGAUCUAUGGACUUCUACACGAUGACACCUUUUUUCCUCAGUAAUUUGUACGGACUGACUGUUUCUCAUACCUUACCUUCCCUUUUCCAAUGACCCCAAAUACAUCAUUUCACACCUAUUGGAAUUAAAAUCCAGCUGGCAUUUCUCUGCUGAAAUUACCAGCUGAUCAUUAUCAGUCUGAGGUAUCCUCUUCACUAUCACAAUAGCAAACUUACUAAUUCUACCUUUUACAUUCGCGUCAUUUGUGUACAUAUGGACAACAAAAAUCCCAGCAUCAAUCCCCAUGGUACACCACUGGUCACAAACUUACAAUUACAAAGAAAAAUUCACAAUCAUCAUCCUUUGCCUCCCAUUUGAAAGCCAGGUUUUGGUUCAGUUUGCUGCCUUGUCUUGGAUCUCAUGUAUGCCUAACUUUUGGACCAGCCUCCAUGUGGGACUUCGGCAAGCAUCUCACUGAAGUCUUCGUAAAUUGUAUCAACUGCAGAACCCACAUCAAUGUAUGUUGUCACAUUUUCCACAAUCUCAGUUCAGUUAUUCAGACAGGAUGUCGCUCUCUAACAAAUCCAUGCUGAUUAUCUCUGAUCAAUCCCUGGCUUUCCAUGUUGAAUAAUCCUGCCCUUCAUAUUUAUUUGUAAUAAUUUCCCUCCCACUACAUUAACACCAUUUAAAAAGCAUUUUGACAAAUACGUGGAUAGGAAAGGAUUAACAGGAUA